GGCUUCGUAGCUCAACGGAAUAAGAGCGCAGGAAUUCGACUCCUGAGGCUGCGGGUUCGAAUCCUGCCGGGGCCU
rnacentral:tRNA from 1 species